rnacentral:rRNA from 1 species
UACGGAGGGUGCAAGCGUUAUCCGGAUUCACUGGGUUUAAAGGGUGCGUAGGCGGGCAGGUAAGUCAGUGGUGAAAUCUCCGGGCUUAACCCGGAACUGCCGUUGAUACUAUCUGUCUUGAAUAUUGUGGAGGUAAGCGGAAUAUGUCAUGUAGCGGUGAAAAUGCUUAGAUAUGACAUAGAACACCAAUUGCGAAGGCAGCUUACUACACAGUUAAUUGACGCUGAGGCAACGAAAGCGUCGGGGAUCAAACAGG